rnacentral:lncRNA from 1 species
UGAAAACAAAAUCACUUCAACAAAUAAAGGUGCACCACAUGCUGACAUCUUUAUCUUGUACUCCAGUAAUUCACAAGAGUACCACAUUGUGACCAUAUAUAUAUAUAAGAGUACCAUUUCUAUAGGGAAUACAUCCGAAACGUAUACAAGAAUACCAUUUUAGUUCACAAAUUCACAUAGCUAAACAAAACAACUUUACCACAGACCACUUGAUGAGCCCUUACUCUCCUCAUGGCAAGCACAAAAGCACACACCUACAUGACAAAAUCAAGGAUUAGAACAGCUGAUUAUUUUGAUAUCAGCUGAUAACACUGCUAAAACAUGCAAAAAAGUGAAACUUAACUAUGUCUGCAACUAGCUCUAAUAGGCAUCUGAUGCUACAUGCAGCAGUGACAUAAAUUUUUAAAUGGCAAGAACUUGCACACGAGUAUUACACUUUUUUUCGAAACGGAGGCAAAGAUUGCCUCGUCUAUUAAUUAAGCAGAAGAGAAUUGCCCAGUUAAUUACGGAAAACCGGGCAAAAACCGGAACAACAAGGGCCAAGCCCACUCCCAAAGACUGAAACACACAGGGCAAAGCCCACCCUAAUCGACAACAUGUCGACCUACAGCCAGACAACGCAGCUCCGACUCAGACGGAGAACUCAGAAGAACAGAACCAGACACGGCUGGCGCCACGAGUAUUACACUUGGUACAUAGAUAACCAAGAAAGUAGCAGUCAUUGUUCAGUGUGCCAAGUACGAACACUUUGUUGCUCACCCUCCAUGGCAUUGUUCUCUUACUAAGAAUCUAAACAGUGUUGAUGUCCAUGUGCAAAAAAAAUGUGUUUUGAUGUCGUAUUUACCUAUAACAUUUGUUAAACGACAAAGAAAGCCUAUCUUUUGACUGAAGAAACUCAAUCAUGCUGAAAUGGCAGUAAAACAAUUACCUAAGCUGGGUCAAACAAAAAGUUUUUAUAUUAGUCACAUGUUCCCAAAUUGUUUCGAAUCUACAAAAUGAUGUGAGCCAGCAAUGCAUGGUUCUAGUCGUUCCCAAAGAUUUUUUUGGGUGGACGCUAAUGCACAGUAAAUCUUUGCUUAACAUAAAUGGUCAGUAACUUAGUUUAUUAUACUGAAAAAACUAUUUUGGAGUCAUCGAACUUUUCUAAGUCCAGCUGCUGUGAAGUGAGAACAACUACAUAGAUUUCUAGUACUCAGUUGUCCCAGUCUGACAUAGAAUUCUACUGGGAUUUCUGAUAGUCAAAAUAUUCUUGGGGUUCAUCUGGCCGGCUGGACUAAUAAUGCACUUGGUCUGAACUUGUGCUAGGCUGUGCAUGUGGUUUCCAACUCCCAUAUGUAAGAAACAUUCUAUGACACUCUAUAAGAUAGAUUAUGUUUAUAAUUCAGCUAGACAUGUUAGGAGAGAAAGCAACAGCCAACAUUUAAGGAACACUAGAUUUCAUGAUUUGCGAGAUGCUGUAAGAGAGUGACUCAACGAGAACUUGGUCCAUGUAGCAAGCAAUCUUCUGAUUAUGCCAGGAUUAAAAAUAUACUGUUGCAUAUAUAUGCUCCAAACUAACUUUACUAUCUGCUAAGAUUGCAUUGCGGGACAUGGAAUUUUUCAUAACUACAAUUAACAUUAGAUAUAGCUUUACUUGCAUAAUUUUUUCACUUCUUUCAUUGUUGGCAUACAACUGCAACAGUUGGCUUUCAGUUCAUAAUUUUAGCCACAUCAUGGCAGACUUCCAACCAUUAUGGGCUACAUUGUAGAGAUCAAUACACGGCACUAUGAAAUUAGAGGAUGAACUAACCAAAUGCAGCACGCCUCCACGGCUCCACAGAUAUGUGUUGCACUUCCGGAGGAAAGGGCAGCGGACAAGCACGGACUACAACUCAGGCCUGGUUCAAAAUCUUACCUGUUCGUCUUUGAAGAGAGUCUCCGGCUCCCGGGACACGGUCAGCUUCAGCGGCGGCGCGGACAGAUCCGUCUCGGCUCCCAUGAAACUUAACGGAUCUGGGCGAAGGAAUCGACACGCGUGCGAGAGCCUAUAGGCUGUGCUGGAUUUGUGCUAGCAACAGUAGAUGGGGCAUGCCAUGGUGGCCUGCCGGCGGCGGCAGGAGAGAUGCCCUAGGUGGAGGAGCUGUGAAUCGAACUAGACCAUGAUGGCGCGCGUUGCCGCCCCGUCUAUUUUGUAUGUAGAACUAGUGGCUGGGGCGUGCCAUUGGCACGCCUCCUGAGCGUUCAUGUGCGUACUUAUCUAGCUUGCACACGUCCACGGGUCUUGAUCCUUGAUGGCGCUUAUAUACAGCAAAAGUGAUUUGCAAACAUGCGAAUAUGCCAUCUUUACUGACUUUAACCCAUAACCAAUGGUAAACAUGAAUGCUAAAUAGAAUAUGUACCUUGCCAUAAGCUAUACAAAUGAACAACCAGUACAAAGUUCAGCAAUGAACCCAAAUAACUGAAUCAAAGGGUCAUGUUAUACAAAAAAGAAUAAUGUGAGCUGAUGCAACAUAAAUAUUUCAAACAUAAAUGUAGAGAUUUUUAAUAAGAAAGCUUUGACUGUCUAUUUACAGGAAGGUCUAAGAUACUUUUAAUAAGGCCCUGACCGGUUUAGUUGUAACACUCACCAGUAGAAGAAAUACAUAAAUGAAUUUGACCAUGAGCUGAAGGCAAUAUAUACAUAAAUGGUCUAAAUCAUGUAUAUGUAAGGAAGGUAAAUACUAAAAAAAAAUUAGUAAUCCAUCAUCUGAAGUGGGUUACUGCAUAAAAAUAUAUCUUUCAAAAAAUCUUUGAUCAAAAGUUGGCCCUCUUAAUUUGAUACAGGAUAAGAAGGCCACUUUGCAGAUAAUAUUGGUACCAAUUCUGUAAAAGUUUCUCUCUCUCUCUGCAUCAAAUGCUCAUGAAUCAUGGAUGGAAGGCAUAACACUCGAAUAGUAAGGUCAUUAUGGAAGUAAAUGCCAUACCGCAAUACCUGUAGAUGAGUUGCAAUAUUUUCCCUUCUGAGUUUCUCCACGUUCAUAAGCUCCAGUAUCCUUUUAGCCUUUAGGUACAGCCUCUGCAACCAACAGUAAGAGAAAGGACGCAGCAUCUUGUACACACUACUAAGCAGAUCAUAGGACUUAGUUAAGAAAUGCAUUCUCAGAUCCUUGUUAACAUCACAAAAUGUACAAUGUCCCCAAUUCUAUUCACUAUGAAAAUAACAGCAAUACAGUGCCAGCAAAGCUAACUGAAGGUUUACACAUGACUAAUAUCUCAUACAGUAAAUGCAUGUGCUCAAAUGAAAUUUAAUGGAGUAAAACUCCAAGAAGAUGUACAAAAUAAAACUAAGAGGGCAUGCAAAAUUACUUGCCAUGUUUAAUUAGUCACUAUAGCUAUACUCUCCAGCAUUUGCUUCAAGAAACUAUUUUUCAAGCCUCACAAUAUAUUUUGUUGAGUAAGAAAAUCCAGUUCAGUGAACACGUGUAUCGCUUCCAGCUGCAUUGUUAAGGCAUGAAUAUAUUCUGAACAUAACAAUGCAAUGUGGAGCAAAAAUAUAUAACCAUCUACUACCAUGAGAUCAUGUAAUGGUUCCUUGCAAAAAAAAUCAUGUAUUGGUUAGUCUUUCUCUGAAGCUCGGACUGGUAAUACUAAAUGUAUGCAUCUCAUAUAGGUUCAGAAAUACUCCCUCUGUGCCAUUAUAUAAGAUCAUUUUUGACACUAUAAUAGUGUUAAAA